rnacentral:rRNA from 1 species
UACGUAGGGUGCGAGCGUUAAUCGGAAUGACUGGGCGUAAAGGGUGCGUAGGCGGUUUGCUAAGACGGAUGUGAAAUCCCUGGGCUCAACCUAGGAACAGCAUACGUGACUGGCAGGCUAGAGUAUCGAAGAGGGGGGUAGAAUUCCACGUGUAGCAGUGAAAUGCGUAGAGAUGUGGAGGAAUACCGAUGGCGAAGGCAGCCCCCUGGUCAGAUACUGACGCUGAGGCGCGAAAGCUAGGGGAGCAAACAGG